GACGAACGCUGGCGGCGUGCUUAACACAUGCAAGUCGAACGAUGAACCAGGGCUUGCCCUGGGGAUUAGUGGCGAACGGGUGAGUCACACGUGGGCAACCUGCCCCAAACACCGGGAUAACCUCUCGAAAGAGUUGCUAAUACCGGAUACGACCACCUGUGGCAUCCAACGGUGGUGGAAAGGAUUCUGGUCUGGGAUGGGCCCGCGGCCUCUCAGCUUGUUGGUGGGGUAAUGGCCUACCAAAGCGACGCCGGGUAGCCGGCUUGGGAGGGGGACCGGCCACACGGGGACUGGGACACGGCCCAGACUCCUACGGGAGGCAGCAGUGGGGAAUAUUGCGCAAUGGGCGAAAGCCUGACGCAGCGACGCCGCGUGAGGGACGAAGGUCUUCGGAUUGUAAACCUCUUUCAGCAGGGACGAAGCGAAAGUGACUGUACCUGCAGAAGAAGCACCGGCUAACUACGUGCCAGCAGCCGCCGUAAGAC
rnacentral:rRNA from 1 species